CUGAACCAUUGAGCUACCACUGCUUCAUGAAAAUUUGAAAUACUGUCUGUGCAGGUGCAUUUCCAGUGUGCAUAAUCUAACACAUUCGCAUUGUUGUACACAACAGGAAACAGUCUCGUUAACAUUUCAUACAGUCCUCUGCCACUUUAUUAGGAACACUUGUACACCUGCUCAUCUGUGCAGUUGACCAAUUAGCCAACCCCAUGGCUUCAGGUAAAGAAACUGGGCGGUUAAAGAUUAAAAGUAGAAGCGACAGCUUGUUGAAUCUUAUCGAAUGUCCAACCGAGUGUCCGGUUUUAGCGAGCAAGUGCUGACUGUAGCCUCAGAUUCCUGCAGCCAGGAGUGGAUCCCAGUGUGGUCUUCUGCCGUUCUAGCCUCCUCAGGGUCCGGCGCGUUGUACAUUCUGAGAUGCUUUUCCUGGUUGUAAAGAGUGGCGAUUUGAGUAAACACAGCGUUCUUGUCAGAUCAAACCAGUCUGGCCAUCGUCCUCUUAGCUCUCCUCGAGAAGCUGUCUUCUCCCACAGAACUCACUUAGAUGUGUUUAUUUGUUCGCUUUUAUGUAUUACAUGAAAAUCUCAGGAGAUCAGCAGGUUCUGAAAUACUCAAACCAGCCUUUCGGGCACUAGUAAGACAAAUGAAUGUUGUCCUCCUUAAGUUACUUUGGUAAGGUUAUUAGGCGAUGAAGGGUGUGGGCGCUCGCUUGUGUGGUGUUCAUCUUUUCUGUCCUUCACCUACUCUCACUCUCUCCUUGGUUGGUUUUCUUUUUUUUUCCUUUUCUUUCAACGGCCCUUCUCUCAUCCGCCCCGAUCCCCAAACAGCUCCUUAAAUAGUAAUUAUUUAUGAUUGAGGCUUUGAGGUAGAAAAACAUUGAGGUGGAUUGUUUGAACAGGCUUUUAGAAACUGCAUGACUUCUCAGUGUGGAUGAUGGGUUUCUUUAUAUUUAUAUAUAUAUAUAUAUCGUUGUUGUCAUUUUGCUUUGGUGACCAGAAGGUCGGGAACAUGAAUCCGAGGUCGGAACCUCGAGCAGGACCCUUAUUAAACCCGCUGCGUGCAUCUACUGACUCUGAGAAAUGAAUCAGAAUAAAAUGACUCAUCGAGUUGUAAAACAAAGGCCGCCUUUAGAUUUUUAUUGUUUCCAACCAACCACAUGCACGCAGACGGCCUCGGAGCUAGACCGAUUGUGGGAAGGGCAUAAACGCGGCUCGGUGAAGCGGGGCGUCUGGGUAAAGGUCCUUAAAGCUGGGAGUUACGGCGUGAAGGAGAAACGGGAAUUCUGUACGGAGUCCAUGAACUAAGGUUUUCCAUUUUCCGUUUACUUUAUAGUGCAUACUACAUAGUGCAGUGAGUAUCACUUUAUAAUCACAAGUUUAAAUGCAGUGCUCCCUCUUUCGUGCUCCCCAGACCUUCUCUUCUUUCUUCACAUCUUCCUGCCAUCUCGAACUCUCCUCCUCUGCCCCUCCCCGAGGCCUUGGAUUGGGCAGGUGGAAGCUAAAGCUGGAAUGCUGGGGAAUGCAGUCAGUCCCACUCAGCAUGCACGUGCAUGACCUACAGAUCACAUCCCACUACUCGCAUGGCAAGCUGAUAUAGAAGAAGCGUGAGAUGAGCUAAGACUGGGACAGGAAUAGAGAGCAAGAUGCUGAGUGUUCCGUGGACUGGGGAGUAUUCACACACACACACACACACCACUAGAGGUGAAGGCCAGCAUCUGUGCUGCUAAGGAGGGGCAGGUCAGAGGUCAAGCUGAGUGUUUACUUUGGGUUUUGCAGCUCCUGGCUGGUGUGUGAGCAGACCAAGCAGCGAUGAUUUCCAGUAAACACGGAACUGCUUGUCUGACAGGUUCAGCACGCGGUUAUCUGAUUUAACCUGCUGAAUUUCAUUCCUACAUUCGUAAUAAAAGGCACAGAGGCCAAAGAGGCCACUCCUUCUUCAUUGGGUUCUGAUGGUCAUAAAGGCCACUCCUUCUUCAUUAGGUUCUGAUGGGCCCAAAGGCCACUCCUUCUUCAUUGGGUUCUGAUGGGCCCAAAGGCCACUCCUUCUUCACUGGGUUCUGAUGGGCACAAAGGCCACUCCUUCUUCAUUGGGUUCUGAUGGGCCCAAAGGCCACUCCUUCUAUAUUGGGUUCUGAUGGUCAUAAAGGCCACUCCUUCUUCAACUGGAAUGACAUGCACAGGAUUACACUGUCUUCCUGUUUAGAAAUGACAAUCACCGAAGCCACACCUCUUUUAAUGAGUGGCACAGGGACGGAAAUAAGUUAUUAAUAAAAUAUGAGUAAUGAAAUGACUUUAGCAGUAGAUGCCGUCCCAGCUUCAGUCUGAUAUAAUCACUGUUGUCUGUCAUCCUGACACGACACCGAUUCAAACUGCUGAAUCGUUCCACCCUGUUUUCCUUUCUCCUCAUGCUGUUUACUCUUAGUAUUUUUGGGCAAGUGUCACUUUUCUCUGCAUCUAUAUAAACCCUUGAAUUUAGCGACUGACCACAUAGAAGCGAACAAACACCUUAAUUAUACACCUCCCUCAUGGAAUCCCUCCACCACACACAAAUCUCACACGCUGCUUCCUCACAUAUUAUUAUGUCUUCGCGGCAGCCACUUUCACUACCCGUUUUACACGGCAGUUUUCCAUGCACGCAAACACGCCGGCAAAUAAAUCUCACUUGUAAAGUGUCAGGUCAUAAAGAUCGGUCAAAAUAAACGAUCCCCUCGAGCAGUCUUGUUCCGUCUCUGUUUUUUUGUUUUUUUUAAAGCCUUAAUUGAAAUAGUAGCUGGGUGUGGGAGCGGCAGGCUUCGGGAUUUCUUCCUGCAACACUGAAGCCUCAGAAUCUUUGUUAUAAGUGACGUUGCAGCCUGAAAAUACACUGUGUUGUAAGUGUUAUAUAUGAUAAAUGUUAUAUGUGUGUGUGUGUGUGUGUGUGUGUAUGUAUGUGUAUAUAUAUAU
ensembl:lncRNA